GUCUACGGGCAUGCGACCCUGAACAAACCCGAUGUCUGAUCUUAGAAGCUAAGCAGGGUCGGGCCUGGUUAGUACUUGGAUGGAUGGGAGACUUUCCACCUAGGAAGACCAGGCACUGUAGGCA
rnacentral:rRNA from 1 species